AUGGCCCCAGCCGUGAUGGCUUCUUCCGCCACCACCGUCGCGCCCUUCCAGGGGCUCAAGUCGACCGCGGGCCUCCCCGUCAGCCGCCGCUCCGGCAGCGCCGGCCUCAGCAGCGUCAGCAAUGGCGGAAGGAUCAGAUGCAUGCAGGUGUGGCCAAUUGAGGGCAUCAAGAAGUUCGAGACCCUGUCUUACUUGCCUCCCCUCUCCACGGAGGCCCUCCUGAAGCAGGUCGACUACUUGAUCCGCUCCAAGUGGGUGCCCUGCCUCGAGCACAACAGCUCCCCCGGGUACUAUGACGGUCGAUACUGGACAAUGUGGAAACUGCCUAUGUUCGGUUGCACCGACGCCACACAGGUGCUCAAUGAGGUGGAGGAGGUUAAGAAGGAGUACCCUGAUGCAUAUGUCCGCGUCAUCGGCUUCGACAACAUGCGCCAGGUGCAAUGCGUCAGCUUCAUUGCCUUCAGGCCACCAGGCUGCGAGGAAUCCGGCAAGGCCUAA
rnacentral:rRNA from 1 species